GACGAACGCUGGCGGCGUGCUUAACACAUGCAAGUCGAACGGAAAGGCCCUGCUUUUGUGGGGUGCUCGAGUGGCGAACGGGUGAGUAACACGUGAGUAACCUGCCCUUGACUUUGGGACAACUUCAGGAAACUGGGGCUAAUACCGGAUAGGAGCUCCUGCUGCAUGGUGGGGGUUGGAAAGUUUCGGCGGUUGGGGAUGGACUCGCGGCUUAUCAGCUUGUUGGUGGGGUAGUGGCUUACCAAGGCUUUGACGGGUAGCCGGCCUGAGAGGGUGACCGGCCACAUUGGGACUGAGAUACGGCCCAGACUCCUACGGGAGGCAGCAGUGGGGAAUAUUGCACAAUGGGCGGAAGCCUGAUGCAGCAACGCCGCGUGCGGGAUGACGGCCUUCGGGUUGUAAACCGCUUUCGCCUGUGACGAAGCGUGAGUGACGGUAAUGGGUAAAGAAGCACCGGCUAACUACGUGCCAGCAGCCGCGGUGAUACGUAGGGUGCGAGCGUUGUCCGGAUUUAUUGGGCGUAAAGGGCUCGUAGGUGGUUGAUCGCGUCGGAAGUGUAAUCUUGGGGCUUAACCCUGAGCGUGCUUUCGAUACGGGUUGACUUGAGGAAGGUAGGGGAGAAUGGAAUUCCUGGUGGAGCGGUGGAAUGCGCAGAUAUCAGGAGGAACACCAGUGGCGAAGGCGGUUCUCUGGGCCUUUCCUGACGCUGAGGAGCGAAAGCGUGGGGAGCGAACAGGCUUAGAUACCCUGGUAGUCCACGCUGUAAACGGUGGGUACUAGGUGUGGGGUCCAUUCCACGGGUUCCGUGCCGUAGCUAACGCUUUAAGUACCCCGCCUGGGGAGUACGGCCGCAAGGCUAAAACUCAAAGGAAUUGACGGGGCCCCGCACAAGCGGCGGAGCAUGCGGAUUAAUUCGAUGCAACGCGUAGAACCUUACCUGGGUUUGACAUGGAUCGGGAGUGCUCAGAGAUGGGUGUGCCUCUUUUGGGGUCGGUUCACAGGUGGUGCAUGCCUGUCGUCAGCUCGUGUCGUGAGAUGUUGGGUUAAGUCCCGCAACGAGCGCAACCCUUGUUCACUGUUGCCAGCACGUUAUGGUGGGGACUCAGUGGAGACCGCCGGGGUCAACUCGGAGGAAGGUGGGGAUGACGUCAAGUCAUCAUGCCCCUUAUGUCCAGGGCUUCACGCAUGCUACAAUGGCUGGUACAGAGAGUGGCGAGCCUGUGAGGGUGAGCGAAUCUCGGAAAGCCGGUCUCAGUUCGGAUUGGGGUCUGCAACUCGACCUCAUGAAGUCGGAGUCGCUAGUAAUCGCAGAUCAGCAACGCUGCGGUGAAUACGUUCCCGGG
rnacentral:rRNA from 1 species